UACGUAGGGUGCGAGCGUUAAUCGGAAUUACUGGGCGUAAAGCGUGCGCAGGCGGCUUUGUAAGACAGAUGUGAAAUCCCCGGGCUUAACCUGGGAACUGCGUUUGUGACUGCAAGGCUGGAGUGCGGCAGAGGGGGGUGGAAUUCCACGUGUAGCAGUGAAAUGCGUAGAGAUGUGGAGGAACACCGAUGGCGAAGGCAGCCCCCUGGGUUGACACUGACGCUCAUGCACGAAAGCGUGGGGAGCAAACAGG
rnacentral:rRNA from 1 species